GUCAUGGGAGCAGUACCCGUAGCUAUGAUAAUUUAUUUAAUUAAUGCACCUAAAGCAAACUACCAAAAUUCAAAGUAUUUCUACAUGAAUUAAGAUAAUUGAUAUGAGGGCCACAGAAUUCAAUUGUAUGAAUGGCACAUUUAGAUUUUUAAAGGGAAAAGAAUUCAACUAAGAGAGUUACAGAUAUUCGUACUAAUAAACUACGCCACGAGAACCGUACUCGCAACCAUGAUGUUUGAAUUAUGUGCCUAACGUAAAUUACAAGGGGUCACAUUUGAAGCUAAAUUUGAAAUUGUAAAGGGCGGCCAGUUACAAACCUUUAUGAAGAGGUCAAUCAGGCCCUCUUCAUAACAUUAGGCUUAACAUUUAUUUAAAAGCAUUUAUACUGAAAAAUAAAAUGGCCACAGGUGGAAUGCUGGGCCUAACAUUACUGAAAGCUAAGUGACGAAUAAACAUUUGCAUACAUCUUUUAAAUUAAUAAUGUCUAUCCUUACCAAAUAACAAAUAAAUCAACUUAUACAAGAUAAACCAUAUAAAAAUAAUUUAUACAAAAACCCAAAUCGUAAUAGUUCAAUAGCCCUAAGAUCUAGCUAAUUCAUUAAUUAAUAUCCACAAAACAUGUUUAUCCUACGUUAAUGCAGCUACUCCAGUCCAUGAAAUUUGGUAACUCAAAGGAAGCUUGAAUUUGCAAGGCUAGCUACAGAGCUACAACCAUCGUGUCAUAAAUGAAAGCAUCGGUAAUAAGCGAUUAGAAAGAACUUAGCAUUUCAUGAAUUUAACACACAUACAAACUAAAAGAAACACAUGGUCAACAACUUCUUCCAAAAUCAUUUCAACGAAAAAAUAAAGGUUUACUGACUUUCCCACCCUACAAAUCUACAACAACAAACAAACUAGGGUCUAUAGCAAUUCCAAAAAUAUCAAAAGUUAAAUUACGAUGCAUAUAAGUUCAUGUUAUUAUAAUGCUCAUACCACUAUUUAAACUGCUAUAAGCAUUCACAACAAUUCCCAUCCUUUCAGAUCCAUGAAUGUAAUCAAUUAACACUAAUCAAACUUUCCUCGUUCACAAAUCAAACUUGUGCUGACUUGUUUAACUUUCAAUCAUAGAAACUAUAUCUUAAUUAAAAUUAAACAGUCAAAAUAUUAAUUAUAGCUGAUGUAGGAUUCAUGCACAAUAUGCAACAAAAUAGCAUGUAGUCGUAACAAUAAAACACACACACAUUUGCUGCACAAACUGGAUAAAUGCAUAGCUAAAAUAGACCAUAUCUUUUAAUCUAUGUUUCAGGGAAAACCUUGACAAGUAUAGAUUACAUACAUAUAAACAGAUAUUAACAAGAAAGGUGAUGACCAAGUACAUCUAGACUUAAAAGCAAAUAAAGCUUGGAUUGAACAGGAGACAACUGGCAAUGAUUAGCAAACCAUGAUUUUAAAAUUUCACAGUUUCUCAACCCAGAAAAUACCCAAGAAGGCAGUAGAAAUCCAAAACCAGUUUUAUAUAAGCCCUUCUCCUAGUUUUUCCUUUUUAUUUUCUAUUUUCUCUUGCCUUUUUUUCCAAUCCCCUUUUAUAAAGAAGUGUUACUCUUUUUAUAAGGUGUGUGCACUAGUGAGGAAUAAAAAAAUAAUCACCAAAGAAAACUAGAGAAUCUAUCAGCCUCUAAAGGCAUCUUCCUAACAAAAAUAGGACAGUUGGAAGUCUCUUAUUGGUUCCAAGAUUUUGUGCUGGCCAAAAUUAAGCCAGCUGCCCCCAGUUCUAGAAACUUUUUAUGUUAUCCUUCUCUGGAAAAAAACUUGUUUCAUACCCUUCCAAGACCCCUUAAGUUUUUUAUUUGUUCAACUAAGCCCCUCAUAACUUCAAUUUGUUCACAAAACAAAACCAACAAACAAAGCUAAACUGCGCACAAAUCAAAAAUUAAAAAGACCGAAAUAUUUUUGCAAUUAAGUCUUAACUUAAUCCCAACCUUAACUGAUUUUAUUGUGAAUUAAUUUGAAAAGCAACAGGAACAAAAAUCAAUAAGAGAUUGUUAAGGCUGACUAAUCCAGCCAUUGGAUGAAAAUGCAAACAAAUUCUAAUAAACACAUGAAAAUAACCUAAGAUUAAUUUAAAAUCGGAACCAUGAAAGUUAAGACAAUGAUGAAAAGACUAACAGUAAGAGUCCUUACCCCAAAACUGACCCAAGAAAAAUAAAGAUGAUGAACUUCGGUAUCUGGAUGGAAACGAUGAACUUUGAAAGUAAUCUAAUGAGUCUAACCCAAAUUCGGUGGUCUUGAAUGACUAAUAACUAUCGUCAAUCGAUUGCUCUUGUUGAGAGCAAUCUAUUAACGUAAGUUUUUAGUCAUCAAACUUAUGUGAAGAAAAUUGUAAAAGAAAAAUUAGGGCUUUUUUGGAAUCCCUAGAUCUAUAAUUAAGAGUAGUUUGUUUGAUUUUUUAGAGAUUAAUGGUGGCUCAAUGGUGCGGUAGGUGUGAUCAGUGGAUUUGGACGAAAUUUGAGGUCGUUUGGUGGUGUUAGAGUGGCAAUCGAUUGAUGAAGGAUUUAGGGGCGGCAAGGGUUCAUAAGAUGAGAGAGGGAGAUGAAGUGGGAAGUGAAUUAGGGUUUGAGGAGGAACUGUGUUAAGACAAUUAAAUAUAAUUGAUGCCAAG
rnacentral:lncRNA from 1 species